ACUCUGUAAUACUGUAAAUGAUCAGUUACUCAGGUUAACACUAAACUUUAAACAGUCCCUCUGUGUCUCUGUGUGUGCUGAACAUCUAGGAUUGACUCAGGCUGCAUUGACUGUGGGACUUUUCUGUGUUAAAAGCAAGUUGAAGACGGCUCAGAAACAUUUGAAGAUUAUAAUUUAGCAUUAUGGCUGCUGGUGGUGUGUAAAGCUUCUACUCAGCUGUAUUUUUGUUACUAAUUUAUGUUUGUUGUUGUUUAACACAGAUUUCAGAAGAGCAAAGAUGAGCACUGUUGCUUAAUCCUUAAUAGUUUAACUGGAUUGGAAAUCAAAAAAAUCCUGAUUCUUCUUCCACAGAAGUUUCAUUUGUCAGUGUGGGACUGCUGAGUCACCUGAAGAACUCAUUUCAUUCUCCACGAUGUUGAUUUACAGAAAUGUUUCACAGGAACUGAUUCCUCCCAAAGGGUGAACUAGUGUGUUUCCAUAGAUUACCUCUGUAUGAAUGUACUUCUUAAAUGAAGGCAAGUGUUUGUCCUUUUUUGUUCCUCAGGUACAGUACGUGAUAUUAAGGGCAGGUGGUCAUCACUGGGGGAAGACAAGAUGCAGACGUACUUCCAAGAGGGAGCUGCAGUGAGGACACAGCCUGGUCACUGAGGUCAGAGGAGGCGCUGAAAGGUUUCCCUAAUAGUUCCUGGUGAAUCAAAGCAGAACCAUAAAGGUUGCUGGACUGCAUCGUGGCCUUACCCCUGAGCAGUCGUCCUGUUAAAGGAGGAACCAGUUAGAAGCUGUGUUCAAAGUAGCUGAGCAGAUUUCAUCUCAACAGACAAAGCCGAUGGCAGAAGAUGUUUGGAGAAGAACUUCAGGCCGUGGACUGACAAGAUCAAAGCAGCUCGUGCUCCUUCUGCUUCCAUUUUGAUGGCAAGAAGAAGAAAAAGAAGAAGAAUGCUUCAGCGAAGUGCCGUUCAUGGUCUCAGUGGACAGUCAUGGUCACACACUGCA